GGGAAAUACCGACAGAGAAAGAAACUGCGAACUGCGGCUUGUUCAAACAGUUUGCUGUUAGUGUAUCAAUGCCUAAUCUCAACACUGUUUAGUUAAGAGUCCACUCUCUAAAGUCAACUCAACAUAAUGUCGUGGGGGGGGGGGGUGCCUGGAGGUUGAAUAAACUUCUCCGCCCUCUACCUGCUGACCACCGCAGACACUCCUGGAGAGUGCAGCGGCAUCCAGAAGCAAAGCUUGCAUUCUCUUGCCAAGUGACUUCCUAACUUCACUGAAAAGCGCUCACUUUUUCAGCUCGCAAAAACUCUUCAAGGACAACGGGUAAGAUGUACGUGGAAGUUAAUAUUGAGGGGGCAGAUUCUGGAGCGGAGGAUGAAAUUCACACGUUCCAGGAAUCAGUAUCGUGAACAUCAGUGCAGCAGUUCUGGUCACCUGGAUUUAUAAACACCAAGAAGUAGCAACAGCCAGUGUGCAAGUCACUGACAACCCAAGUCACCAAAAAUCUUACUGAGAACCCAUUAGCUCCUUGAAUUAAAGAUUAUUUUGUGAAAAGAGGCUUGAUCGUCUUGUUCUGCACCUGAAAUAAAGCAUU
rnacentral:lncRNA from 1 species